UUAAAAUGAAUUGACGGGGACCCGCACAAGCGGUGGAUGAUGUGGAUUAAUUCGAUGCAACGCGAAGAACCUUACCUACCCUUGACAUGCCCCGAACCUGGGAGAGAUCCUGGGGUGCCCGAAAGGGAACGGGGACACAGGUGCUGCAUGGCUGUCGUCAGCUCGUGUCGUGAGAUGUCGGGUUAAGUCCCGCAACGAGCGCAACCCCUGCCAUUAGUUGCCAGCGGCUUGGCCGGGCACUCUAAUGGGACUGCCGGUGACAAACCGGAGGAAGGUGGGGAUGACGUCAAGUCCUCAUGGCCUUUAUGACCAGGGCUACACACGUACUACAAUGGCCGGUACAAAGGGCAGCGACACAGCGAUGUGAAGCCAAUCCCGAAAAGCCGGUCUCAGUCCGGAUUGGAGUCUGCAACUCGACUCCAUGAAGUUGGAAUCGCUAGUAAUCGCGGAUCAGCACGCCGCGGUGAAUACGUUCCCGGGCCUU
rnacentral:rRNA from 1 species